rnacentral:rRNA from 1 species
GAUGAACGCUGGCGGCGUGCCUAAUACAUGCAAGUCGAGCGAACAGACGAGGAUCUUGCUCCUCUUUCGUUAGCGGCGGACGGGGGAGUAACACGUGGAUCACCUACCUAUAAGACUGAAAUAACUUCUAGACACCGGAGCUAGUACCGGAUAAUAUAUUGAACCGCAUGGUUCAAUAGUGAAUGACGGUUUUGCUGUCACUUGUAGAUGGAUCCGCGCCGCCUUAGCUAGUUGGUAAGGGAACGGCUUACCAAGACAACGGUGCGUAGCCGACGUGAGGGGGUGAUCGGGCACAGUGGAACUGGGACACGGUCCAGACUCCUACGGGAGGCAGCAGUAGGGAAUCUUCCGCAAUGGGCGAAAGCCUGACGGAGCAACGCCGCGUGAGUGAUGAAGGUCUUCGGAUCGUAGAACUCUGUUAUUAGGGAAGAACAAAUGUGUAAGUAACUAUGCACGUCUUGACGGUACCUAAUCAGAAAGCCACGGCUAACUACGUG